AUCAAUACUAAAGAUGGAACUGUGAAGUUUCUUACUAUUUCACCUUGAACGGUGUGAACUCUAGAGUGUUUGACUGGUUUCUUAAUUGUGCAGCCUGACAUGCAUGGAUUUGCAGUAAACAAUUAAACAAAUUAUAAACUAUUCAUUUGUACUCUUUUAACAACCAAAUAUCUCUAUAAUAAUAAUUUCGACUUAUUCUCAGAAACUUUUACUAUUAAAAAUAUGUAUUUACAGUAUGACAUAGCUGAAGGCUAUUAUUUACAGACAAGCAAACAGUUGUAAACAAAUUUGCAUAUUAAAAGGGGGAGAUAACUGAAAGUUAAAACUUGGGACUGGGACUAGCUCACAUACUAAAAAUAAUAACAUGGGGGACUUUAUACAUAUAGCAUAUAACACAAUAAAUGAAGUUCAAUAAACGCAUUUACUUUGAACCAGAAAACUAUGUAAACAAACCGGGAAUCUUAUGAAAUAAGAAAACAAGUAACACUGGGCUUUGCAAUGGGAUAAAUAGAGAACAUCAGUUUACUAGCUUCUAAGAGCUUUCUGUUACCUAACGACCAUGAGAACUAAUGCAAAAUGCUUUGAAUAAUAAUGUUCUUACACCUACCAUUGUUUACAAAUAAUGGGUAAACUGUAAAUUGAGACAUAUUACUUGCUCAUGAAAUUGUCGCGGUAAAACUGGAGUUGUCUCCCAUAUAAAAAUUACUUCUGAUGAAGCGUGUUCAUUUUAGUCUAGUUUUGGCAACUAGUGUUCAUUUACAAAAAUACUUAAUAUGUUUGAAAUUAAUAAAAACUUUCAAAAUAUUAACUUGAAAAAGAUAUAUACAUAUUUAAAAUUGACCAACUGGUUUGGCGUCUUUCUCUAACUAUUGAAAAUGAUAAUUUCUCUUAAAAAUGCUAAAU
rnacentral:lncRNA from 1 species